rnacentral:rRNA from 1 species
GGACCCGCACAAGCGGUGGAGCAUGUGGUUUAAUUCGAUGCAACGCGAAAAACCUUACCUAUACUUGACAUACUUGGAAUGCUUUGUAAUGAAGCAGUGCCUUCGGGAGCCAGGAUACAGGUGCUGCAUGGCUGUCGUCAGCUCGUGUCGUGAGAUGUUCCGUUAAGUCGGAUAACGAGCGCAACCCUUACCCUUAUUUGCCAGCGAUUCGGUCGGGAACUAUAAGGGGACUGCCGGUGAUAAACCGGAGGAAGGUGAGGACGACGUCAAGUCAUCAUGGCCCUUACGUAUAGGGCUACACACGUCUACAAUGGGGAAAUUACAGACGGACGCUAAGCCGCGAGGUGGUGCUAA